UUUUUUUUAUGGCUUUGGCUUCACAGAGUAUAAACCUGCACACAAGGUAGAGGUAGAGGUGUCAGUGCAAUAAAACACCAGCAAACACAAAUUCGAUCAGUAUCCAAGCACCAGGCCUUCUAUAGUUAAGAAGUAGUAUAGUUAAGUAUAGAUUUCUAUGUAGUAGAAAUCAUCAUCACACUCAAAUAUCAUAAUUUGACUUGCUGGCUCUGCUCAUUUAUUGAUCAACUCCAGCUUGUCCUGCAUAUUGAUGCUCACUGUUUGAGCUGACUAGAAAUCCGAAUAACCCACAGGCCUGUGGAGCUAUUCCUGUAUGCAAUAUCUCAUCUCUGUAAAGCCAGUUCCGCACCUCUUUGCUUUCAGAUUUUAGUAAAAAGCAUGAUUUCUGAAAUGAAGUCAUAUAACAAAUUGAAUGAGGUAUUUGGGGCAGUUCUGAGCAUCAGAGGUGACCACAUCACAGCUAUCAGGUUGCAUAUGGUCCCCGCAAGCAAGCUGGAAUUAGUGUGGUCUUAAAGAACUCGAUUCUGAAAUGCUUCAAGACCAUGCUGUAUCUUUUCCCUUUUUCCACAUCCCUUCCCAUUAAUUGUUACUCAUGAUUACUGAAUCACACUAUUGGCAAGGCAGAAGCAGGCUGUUAGUGAAAGAUCCCACGCAGAGAGACCCUUACUCAAGUCUCAGGAAAUUGCGGACCCCAGACACAGAGAGACCAUUUUGGAUGUAAUAAGCAAAGGCGAGGUUUAUUACGGAGACCUAUUACAGAGAUCUCUGGGCCUGAAAAGAAAAUUAUACAAAUUCUAGGUUUAGAAAUAUAAAAUUAAAAGAGUUAGCCCCAAAAGCCACAAACUCAGGGCUAAGCCCUGCGGCCAGGAAUAACAGGCCAUAAAGAUAAGAAAAAGAAUGCAAGAUCCAGCUCAGGCUAUCGAGGACUGAGCCAUAAACCAUCCACAGACAUCCCCCCAGCUUACUCAGAGUCAUACUUUAACCAGAUGUCCUCCAGACCCUGAUAAGCCCCUACUUGUGCUUUUCAGCCAUUGUGUCCUACAGAGAGCAUUCCAAGAAACCGGACAGCCCAAGCCUAACCAGAGGUGUUUCAAAUACAAAUGCUCCAUCAAUUUUGACAAACUUUUAAAAAUAAUGAGGACCUGAAGACCCUACCCUUCUCCUGAUUUAGUAGCUCUGUUCCAGGAACCUGGGGGCCAUAAAACCUUCUGGCGUCCCCUUAUCUCCUGGAGCCAUAAAACAAUCUUGUAACUUGUGGUACAUUCCCCUUUGACAUCCCCCAUCCCCUGGUGCUCACAGCCUCUGCCUUUAAAUACUCUUUUUCCCAGCCUCUCGGGGCCGACACCUCUGUCUCCUGCGCGGGAUACGUGUCGGCCCGGAGAUCUCUGUAAUAGGUCUCCGUAAUAAACCUCGCCUUUGCUUAUUACAUCCAAAAUGGUCUCUCUGUGUCUGGGGUCCGCGAUUUCCCAAGACUUGAGUAAGGGUCUCUCUGCGUGGGAUCUUUCAUAUUUAUGGGGGCUCGUCCGGGAUCUGCGCGACUACCCCAGACUCCGAAGACCCCUUGGAGGUGAGUUGGAUGUUUGUCUGAGUGUUUCUGUGUGAGCGGCGCCGCAAUUGUCAGUCUGUGUCUGUCUCUGUUUUGGUUCCGCCGUGUGUGUAUAUAUGUGUGUCUUAGUACUGGUCAGUGUUAAGAGGGCAGAUGGGUAUUCCUGCCCUGUGUUAAGAGGGCAGAUGGGUGUUCCUGCCUUGUGCUAAGAGGGUGGAUGUGUAUUCCUGCCCUGUGCUAGGAGGGUGGAUGUGUAUUCCUGCCCUGUAGGAGAGUGGAUGUGUAUCCCCACUCAGUGCAGCUGCCUUUGUGGUCCGUGAGGACCCCCUGGCUGCGGAAGGGGGGACGCCCCGGGCCCGCAAGGCUGCAGCCCCUGGAAGACGUUCCACGGGCGGAGAACAGUCGGGAGAGCCCGGCUAUGGACAGUCAGGAGGACCUGACUCUGGUUUUCUGGAACAAAGGAGAUGGAAUGCUCCUUUUACCUAGGCGGGAGGGGAUGAGGAAUCCCACUCCGUCAGAGGUCGAGUUCGGCUGUCUAUUUAAAUAUAGGCACGGACAAGUGUGCUUGGUCAUUAGGACAAGAGGACACUCUGGAAUCCUGUUGGGAGGUGGAAUCAGAUGGUCCAUCUCAUCCCAAAAGCAGCUAAGGUUAAGCUGCAGUUUGGGCCACGUACUGAAGGUACCAGGCAUCUGUGAAAGUUGGUUAUAAGAUGCUUUGUCUUGAUAUUGUUUGUCUGGCUUGUUUUCUGUGGUAUUGUCGAGUGUCUUUUUGGCUUUUGUUUCGUUUUUGAAUUUUGGACUGACGACUGUGUUUGAAUUUGGACUGACGACUGUGUUUAAAAUCUUGGACUGAUGACUGUGUUUGAAAUCAUGAAACUGUUUGCUUUGUUCGUCAAAGAGUUUUACUUGGUCCUCUUGGUGCUUAAGUUAAGAGUUAAAAAUAAUUUGCUUGAGAAAAAUUGUUUUCUGCCAGGGAGUUUUGUCUUUCUCUCUUAAGCCUCCUGCCCAAGGAGAGCGGCCCCUCCCUUUACUCCCCUUGAUCAGCCUAGCUGCUGUUAACAGUUGUGUAAACAGACAUUAACAAAAACCUUGAGGACAAAACCUCUCGUAAAAAAAAAAAGUUCCCCAGAUUAGGCCUCCGGUAUAAAACAAAUAAAGUGAGUAAGAAACUUAAUUUUAUAGACCACGCUCUAGUGGCGGUGUGUUGGUUGAUAGCCAACGUUAAGUUUUUAAAACAUAGUGUUUUAUCUGUGCUUGUGCUCCCAACACACAGUAGGGGGGAGCGAAACUAGCUGUGGAGCUGCUGCAGCGAGCAUGGAGACUUCUCAAGUCUCACCCAAUUUUUCUGGCUCUUCAGGAGCUGUUUAAAAGGAAAAGGCUUAAGGUAAAAAGAAACACUAUAGAAAGAUUUCUUAGUGAAUUACUACACCUUGGUUCGCGAUCUCUGGGAAUCUCACGGUGGACAGCUGAGAUAAGCUAAAAAAAGAUUUAAAUUUUGCUUGGGAACAAAGAAUCUUAAAGGUGGAGUUUCAGCCGGUAUGGCACUUAGUGCGUAGCUGCCUAAAAGAUCAGAAAUGCUGUCAAUAGGCUAUAAAAAAAGGGACAGGCUGUGUUAAAAAUGCUACAUAAAGAAUAAUCUAAAAAGGCUGAGAGUGAGGUGAGAGAGGACUCUAAGAAAAACAAGAACAAGAAAGGAAUUUCUGCUUUUAGUGACCAGACCUUCAACUCUUGCUCACAGAAAGAGGGUGCUCAUUAGGAGAAGUUCUUUAAGGAGCCUGCCUUAUCUGCUGGCCCUAUUCCAAGAGAGGAGUCAGUCUCCGGCAUUAAAUUACUUUUCUCACUGGUCAUCAUUAGCAUGGAGAAUGCCUUUGAUCCUAUCCCCACAGCAGCCAGUUCCUGCCCCUGUGGUAGAAAUGUCCCAGGUUGGGGGACAGAGAAGCCCCUAAAAUAGUUUCAAAGAAUCUACAACAAACUGUAAAGAACUUUGUUUUGUUUUGCCAGUUUGAAUUUAGAAUUCAGGCUUUGGCUGUGGCCGAGGUCAGGAUUAAUGUUUUCGUUUCCAUGGGCCCUUAGCCCACUGAGACAGUUUGGUAAAGGACUACUACUACAGUCCUGAUAUUCAGAGACAUGGAGAGAGCUAUAGUUUUUUUUAUUAAAGGUUGGUACUAUAGUAUUAACAAUCUCUUUAUUAGAUAUAAGAGACAAGAAGCCCCAGGUGAACUGGUUACAAUUCUUUUGUCAGCUGCUUAGUAUCUAACACCCAGGUUCUACCGUCUCUCCAUCCUUUUGUUAUUAGUUCUUACUAGAAGCCUAGUGUCCUUCAGAGGCUGGGUUUAUUGAGAGACAGAGCCACUGAGCUGGCACUAAAAAAAGGUACUCCUUAAGGGAAAAUCUAAGUCCAGAGAGACAGCCGGUAACAGAUAGGCUGCCCCUCUGCUCACUUUUCUGUUUCACAGACACAAGGUGUUUUUGUCCCAAGAAAGCCUCCUGGCUUAGCUGUGUGACUAAAUGCUAUUUGCCCUCUUCAGUGGACCUCUAUUCUCAAGAUUCCCUUGUUUUCUCACCAUCCCAUUUGAGAUGCUUGUUAGUAACUGUUACAGGUCUUCUUUACCACCGAGGAAAGACGGAAUCCUACUAGAGGCCAGAAAAAGUGUUCCAGAGAUGGAUAGAAGGCCCUCACUUCUGCCUGCUCUCUUCAGACGCCUAAAGGACUUAAACUGUGAUAGAGUGGCUGAUAGAGUGUCCAAAGAUGGGACCACUGGUCAGCAGCCAUGGACUAGAUUCUCCACCGGUUGGGGACAAUCUGGUCACCUUGCUGCCCAAUCCGGACCUGGAGCCACCACAGCACGAGUGUCAAACACUGACAGAAGCACAUGGGUGGAGGAAAGACCUGUGCGACUGGCUGAUUGACCCCUGCUGAAAGCCGAGGACCUUGUCCACAGACGGGAACAGUUCUCUUCAUGAAUAAAGGUCAGAGAUAAGUGGGUGCUGCCAUGGUGGACAACACAAUGUCAUCUAGAAUGGCUGAACCUCUACCCCCCCAGCACAUCAGCGCCACAGAUGCCUUUGCCAUCUCUUGGAUGCCCGGAUGAAGCCAACAACUGUGAGUACUAUUCAUUGCCCAGGAAAACAGGAGGGAAGAGAUUCAGUGACAUGGGGCAGUGACAAAACAGAUAAAGUGGCUCGGGAAAUGGCUAUGCAGGAGCCUAUCCUGGUUACAGGCCUACAGGAGACAGCCACUGAGAACUGGGAUUGGACUAAGGGAUGACCUCACUUAGAAUGUACAACAGAAGAAAAGGCCCAAAUUGCUUAAAAGAUAAAGGACAAUGACACACUUGAGGGGAAAGGUAUACUCCCCAGAGAACAAAGAAAAGACUCACUUUGCCAAAUACAGAAAUGGACCCAUUUAGGAGAUAAGAAGUUUGUCCAAGUAGUUAAGAUAUAUAUAAUAGACUUUAAGAUUUUAGCCAAGAGAGACAGUAAAAAGUAUAAGAUACGUCAGUAAACAAAUGCUUAACAAACAAACAGGACAAAGAGACCUAGAGAGUUUAAUAAAAAGUUGAAGUGAACUUCACUGAGAUAAAACCAGAAAAAUAUAAUCACAAGUAUCUCCUAGUGCUUGUAGAUACUUUUUCAGGAAUAGAUAGAAGCUUUCCUCACCAAACGAGAGACGGCCUCUACAAUCAUCAAGAAGAUACUGAAAGAAAUCUUCCCCAGGUCUAGAAUGCCCAAGGUAAUCUGGUCAGACAACGGCCCUACUUUCGCCGCCAAGGUAAGCCAGGGUGUGGCCAAGUAUUUAGAGGUCGAUUAGAAAUUACAUUGUAUUUACAGACCUCAAAGCUCAGGACAGGUAGAGUAAAUAAAUAGAACUCUAAAAGAGACCCUGACCAAAUUGACCAUGGAGACUGGCACAGACUGGGUGACACUCCUUCCCUCUUGCUCUCUUCAGAGCAAGAAAUACCCCUUCCAGACUCAGCUUUACCCCCUUUGAGAUCUUAUAUGGGGCCUCAGCUCCCCUGACUGUAUUAGAUGAUGUUACUGAACCAACAUGUCAUAGUAAUAAUGAUUUGUGUGCCAGGCUAAAAGACCUACAGGUGAUACAGAAAGAAAUCUGCUCACAGCUGACAGCAGCCUAUGCCCCGGAGACCCCUGAGACAUCCCAUCAGUUCCAGGUCGGAAACAGCUACACUGAGCCCAGACACUCGAGCCUCGCUGGAAAGGACCGUACCUGGUGCUGCUGACCACCCUGACAGCCGUCAAUUCUCAGCCCUCACCAGCCGUGUACUAGCUGUUAGGGCUGAGAGCUGGGACCUAGAGGGAAAUUCAGUCAUGUUUGUCCUGGGUUCCAUCGAGAUAGGUGUGGGGAUAGGCUUGAUUUCUAUUACAAAUGAUGUAACAUUACAUAUGUUAAUACUCCUAACACUUCUUGGGACUGUGCCUCAGGGAUCACAACCUAUAUAAGUUUAGAAGUUCUGAAAGACAGUCAUGACCUUGAUAUAUAGGUUUAGAUAGUGUCCAGAUAAAAUCCUGAUGCUAAAGACUUUUUAGCUGACCUCCAAGAAUACCUAACCUCCCUCUCAGAGGUAGUCCUUCAAAAUAAGAAAAGAUUAGACCUGAUAUUCCUUAAAGAAGGAGUCUGUGUGCUACACUAAAAGAAUGUUGCUUCUAUACAGACCAUUCAGGAGUAAUUAAAGACUCCAUAAAUAAACUUAGAGAAAGGUUAGACAAAAGACAGACAGAAAAACACAUCAGAGAUGGUUCGAGAGCUAGUUUAGUAGAUCUCCCUAGAUGACUACCCUACUCUCUGCUACAGCUGGGCCAUUAUUAAUAAUUUUCUUGGUUUUAGUUUUUGGCUCCUGCGUGACAAACAGGUUAAUUGCUUUUGUUAAAAAUCGAGUGGGUGCUGUGCGGUUGAUGUCCUGAGACAACAGUACCAGUCAGUUAAGACAACUGGUGAGACCAAAUACGAGACUUGAUAUCAAAAUUCUAAGAUUAGAAUUAUUUAGUAGGAGAAGACGGGAAUGAAAAGAAAAUUAUACAAAUUCUAGGUUUAGAAAUAUAAAAUUAAAAGAGUUAGCCCCAAAAGCCACAAACUCAGGGCUAAGCCCUGCGGCCAGGAAUAACAGGCCAUAAAGAUAAGAAAAAGAAUGCAAGAUCCAGCUCAGGCUAUCGAGGACUGAGCCAUAAACCAUCCACAGACAUCCCCCCAGCUUACUCAGAGUCAUACUUUAACCAGAUGUCCUCCAGACCCUGAUAAGCCCCUACUUGUGCUUUUCAGCCAUUGUGUCCUACAGAGAGCAUUCCAAGAAACCGGACAGCCCAAGCCUAACCAGAGGUGUUUCAAAUACAAAUGCUCCAUCAAUUUUGACAAACUUUUAAAAAUAAUGAGGACCUGAAGACCCUACCCUUCUCCUGAUUUAGUAGCUCUGUUCCAGGAACCUGGGGGCCAUAAAACCUUCUGGCGUCCCCUUAUCUCCUGGAGCCAUAAAACAAUCUUGUAACUUGUGGUACAUUCCCCUUUGACAUCCCCCAUCCCCUGGUGCUCACAGCCUCUGCCUUUAAAUACUCUUUUUCCCAGCCUCUCGGGGCCGACACCUCUGUCUCCUGCGCGGGAUACGUGUCGGCCCGGAGAUCUCUGUAAUAGGUCUCCGUAAUAAACCUCGCCUUUGCUUAUUACAUCCAAAA